AAUUGUAGAAAGUCAGCGCCGCUGGAAGACUCAGGACGGCUUUCCCAUCAACUAUAACAAUCAACAAUACUUGCGUUUUUGACGAGCUCAGCAGCCCACUGUGACUACCAACUAUGAACUUUAAAUAUGUGUUGCUGGUGUUGGUGGUGGUGUUGGCGGCGGUGUUGGCGGCGCCGCAGGUCAUACUGAAGAAGAGACAGUUCCCUGGGCAAAGACGGCUUGGCGUCAGGAACUAUGGCGCCCAUACCUUCGGAAAGAGAGGCUACAGUUCCAAACGUUUGGCAAAACUGAACUUGUAGAUGAAGAAUCCAACCAUAAAGGAAGUCUAUACCUGAAGUGCCUCGCUCGAAUCCUUCAGUUAGACCGUAACUGGUGACCUGGUUUACAUAGGUGGCAAUGUGACCACCAGUUACUGAAAAACAAGGAGACACUACUCAGGUUGUUGCAUCAACAACCUACUUCAGACCUGGCCCAGUGUGUGCAGUCGUUGAGAGACCGCACAGGUGGAGCCGUUUGAUUUUAUAUAAUUUAUGCUCUUUUUAUUUCAUCCAGUGAUAAAGCAGUUAGCAUAAAAAUGAUCUUAAUACUUAUUUGCUUUAAUUCUAGUAAAUUAUGUUUGUUGUUGUUGAUUUUGAUUUUUUGUUAAUCUGUUUUACGUCUGUACUUGUGUGUGUGUUUGUGUGUUUCGUUAAGUAAAUGACUGUAACCAACGAUGUGUUCAUUGUGAAAAUAGGAAUAUUUAUUAUUAUCUAUAUACAGUACAAAUAAAUGCCUAAAGAUA